AUUGAACGCUGGCGGCAGGCCUAACACAUGCAAGUCGAGCGGCAGCGGAAAGUAGCUUGCUACUUUGCCGGCGAGCGGCGGACGGGUGAGUAAUGUCUGGGAAACUGCCUGAUGGAGGGGGAUAACUACUGGAAACGGUAGCUAAUACCGCAUAACGUCGCAAGACCAAAGAGGGGGAUCUUUGGGCCUCUUGCCAUCAGAUGUGCCCAGAUGGGAUUAGCUAGUAGGUGGGGUAACGGAUCACCUAGGCGACGAUCCCUAGCUGGUCGGAGAGGAUAACCAGCCACACUGGAACUGAGACACGGUCCAGACUCCUACGGGAGGCAGAAGUGGGGAAUAUUGCACAAUGGGCGCAAGCCUGAUGCAGCCAUGCCGCGUGUAUGAAGAAGGCCUUCGGGUUGUAAAGUACUUUCAGCGGGGAGGAAGGUGUUGUGGUUAAUAACCACAGCAAUUGACGUUACCCGCAGAAGAAGCACCGGCUAACUCCGUGCCAGCAGCCGCCGUAA
rnacentral:rRNA from 1 species